rnacentral:rRNA from 1 species
UUAGUUAUCUAUUUUUAUGGGGAGCGGCGGACGGCUGAGUAACGCGUAGGAACGUACCCCAAAGUGAGGGAUAACCACUCGAAAGAGUGACUAAUACCGCAUAUGGUCUUCGGAUUAAAGCAGCAAUGCGCUAUGGGAACGGCCUGCGUCGGAUUAGGUUGUUGGUGAGGUAAUGGCUCACCAAGCCGACGAUCCGUAGCUGGUCUGAGAGGAUGAUCAGCCAGACUGGAACUGAGACACGGUCCAGACUCCUACGGGAGGCAGCAGUUAGGAAUCUUCCACAAUGGGGGCAACCCUGAUGGAGCAACACCGCGUGCUGGAUGAAGGCCUUCGGGUCGUAAACAGCUUUUGUAUACGAAGAAUAUGACGGUAAUAUACGAAUAAGGGUCGGCUAACUACGUGCCAGCAGCCGCGGUCAUACGUAGGACCCAAGCGUUAUCCGGAGUGACUGGGCGUAAAGAGUUGCGUAGGCGGCUUAUUAAGUGGAUAGUGAAAGCUGGUGGCUCAACCAUUCAGUCUAUUAUCCAAACUGGUAAGCUCGAGAAUGGUAGAGGUAGCUGGAAUUUCUUGUGUAGGAGUGAAAUCCGUAGAUAUAAGAAGGAACACCAAUGGCGUAGGCAGGCUACUGGACCAUUUCUGACGCUGAGGCACGAAAGCGUGGGGAGCGAACCGGAUUAGAUACCCGGGUAGUCCACGCCGUAAACGAUGGAUGCUAGCUGUGGGGGGUAUC